UACGGGGGGGGUAAGCGUUGUUCGGAAUUACUGGGCGUAAAGGGCUCGUAGGCGGCCAACUAAGUCGGACGUGAAAUCCCUCAGCUUAACUGGGGAACUGCGUCCGAUACUGGAUGGCUUGGAUUUGGGAGAGGGAUGCGGAAUUCCAGGUGUAGCGGUGAAAUGCGUAGAUAUCUGGAGGAACACCGGUGGCGAAGGCGGUCUGCUGGGCAGUUGCUGACACUGAUGCGCGACAGCGUGGGGAGCAAACAGG
rnacentral:rRNA from 1 species